rnacentral:rRNA from 1 species
AUAGGGGAGCCGAAGGGAAACCGAGUCUUAACUGGGCGUUAAGUUGCAGGGUAUAGACCCGAAACCCGGUGAUCUAGCCAUGGGCAGGUUGAAGGUUGGGUAACACUAACUGGAGGACCGAACCGACUAAUGUUGAAAAAUUAGCGGAUGACUUGUGGCUGGGGGUGAAAGGCCAAUCAAACCGGGAGAUAGCUGGUUCUCCCCGAAAGCUAUUUAGGUAGCGCCUCGUGAAUUCAUCUCCGGGGGUAGAGCACUGUUUCGGCAAGGGGGUCAUCCCGACUUACCAACCCGAUGCAAACUGCGAAUACCGGAGAAUGUUAUCACGGGAGACACACGGCGGGUGCUAACGUCCGUCGUGAAGAGGGAAACAACCCAGACCGCCAGCUAAGGUCCCAAAGUCAUGGUUAAGUGGGAAACGAUGUGGGAAGGCCCAGACAGCCAGGAUGUUGGCUUAGAAGCAGCCAUCAUUUAAAGAAAGCGUAAUAGCUCACUGGUCGAGUCGGCCUGCGCGGAAGAUGUAACGGGGCUAAACCAU